UACGGGGGGGGCAAGCGUUGUUCGGAAUUACUGGGCGUAAAGGGCUCGUAGGCGGCCAACUAAGUCAGACGUGAAAUCCCUCGGCUUAACCGGGGAACUGCGUCUGAUACCGGAUGGCUUGAGAUUGGGAGAGGGAUGCGGAAUUCCAGGUGUAGCGGUGAAAUGCGUAGAUAUCUGGAGGAACACCGGUGGCGAAGGCGGCAUCCUGGACCAACACUGACGCUGAGGAGCGAAAGCCAGGGGAGCAAACGGG
rnacentral:rRNA from 1 species